rnacentral:rRNA from 1 species
AUUGAACGCUGGCGGAAUGCUUUACACAUGCAAGUCGAACGGCAGCACGGACUUCGGUCUGGUGGCGAGUGGCGAACGGGUGAGUAAUGUAUCGGAACGUGCCCAGUCGUGGGGGAUAACGUAGUGAAAAUUACGCUAAUACCGCAUACGAUCUAUGGAUGAAAGCGGGGGAUCGCAAGACCUCGCGCGAUUGGAGCGGCCGAUAUCAGAUUAGGUAGUUGGUGGGGUAAAGGCCCACCAAGCCAACGAUCUGUAGCUGGUCUGAGAGGACGGCCAGCCACACUGGAACUGAGACACGGUCCGGACUCCUACGGUGGGCAGCAGUGGGGAAUUUUGGACAAUGGGCGAAAGCCUGAUCCAGCCAUUCCGCGUGCAGGAUGAAGGCCCUCGGGUUGUAAACUGCUUUUGUACAGAACGAAAAGGUUUCUACUAAUACUAGGAGCUCAUGACGGUACUGUAAGAAUAAGCACCGGCUAACUACGUGCCAGCCGCCGCAGUAA